CAAGUCGAGCGGACAGAAGGGAGCUUGCUCCCGGAUGUUAGCGGCGGACGGGUGAGUAACACGUGGGUAACCUGCCUGUAAGACUGGGAUAACUCCGGGAAACCGGAGCUAAUACCGGAUAGUUCCUUGAACCGCAUGGUUCAAGGAUGAAAGACGGUUUCGGCUGUCACUUACAGAUGGACCCGCGGCGCAUUAGCUAGUUGGUGAGGUAAUGGCUCACCAAGGCGACGAUGCGUAGCCGACCUGAGAGGGUGAUCGGCCACACUGGGACUGAGACACGGCCCAGACUCCUACGGGAGGCAGCAGUAGGGAAUCUUCCGCAAUGGACGAAAGUCUGACGGAGCAACGCCGCGUGAGUGAUGAAGGUUUUCGGAUCGUAAAGCUCUGUUGUUAGGGAAGAACAAGUGCGAGAGUAACUGCUCGCACCUUGACGGUACCUAACCAGAAAGCCACGGCUAACUACGUGCCAGCAGCCGCGGUAAUACGUAGGUGGCAAGCGUUGUCCGGAAUUAUUGGGCGUAAAGGGCUCGCAGGCGGUUUCUUAAGUCUGAUGUGAAAGCCCCCGGCUCAACCGGGGAGGGUCAUUGGAAACUGGGAAACUUGAGUGCAGAAGAGGAGAGUGGAAUUCCACGUGUAGCGGUGAAAUGCGUAGAGAUGUGGAGGAACACCAGUGGCGAAGGCGACUCUCUGGUCUGUAACUGACGCUGAGGAGCGAAAGCGUGGGGAGCGAACAGGAUUAGAUACCCUGGUAGUCCA
rnacentral:rRNA from 1 species